UGCCUGGGCAAAUUCAGACAGUGAAGACUGUUAGAGGACCUGUAGGCUGAACGAAUACGAUAUACAAAGGACAUUUUUGAGAUAAAUAAAGAAUUCCAGAGAAAAUGUCCAGAUUUGAACAUUACACAUCAAAAAUGAUGGAUGAAGUCCCAUCAAGGACAGGAGCUACAGGAGUGACAAUCAGACAUAUAAAAGACAUGCUUCUCCAGCCCAAUCCAACUGAAGUACACAGAGACGAAGCUAUCCACUGCCUUGGAGAGAAGGAAGAGGACCGUUCUCAAGGAGUUCACACAGGGCAGUGUAAACACAAAGGGCAGGAGACAGUAGCGUUUGAGGCAGGCCUCGAUAGACAACUGAUGAACAGUGCCGUCAUGGGUGACGGUCCACCGAGAAUCUGAUGCGCGCAUGCGUAAAGUUUGUCGGGAGCGCUCGCAGCGCGCUCAGGUAUGGAUCCUUAUUCUCUGAUUUACCUGUGCAGGUGCAGGCCGGUGAACUUGUGUUUGCUCGUGUGUGAGCGAGUGUUGGAUUAGAGGAAAGGACACGCGUUUGAGGAUGACUUUGUAGGCUCAGUUAACUAUUUGUUCACGGCUUUGUAGAGUUUCUUACCUGGAUUUUGCUUUUUAUUGUUUUGUGAAGUGGUGCGGAGUUUUCACUUGUAGGUUGUAGCAACGUUCCCCUUUGGGUUCGUUGAGCUGUUUUUGUGUAGUGUUGUAGUGUUGAACGUGGCUGAAGCUUUGCUUGGGAGCAUGUUGAUGGUUUCUGGAGGGUUGCUGGUUCGCUAGUCGCUCUCCUGAUCCAGAUUAUUCCUCUUUGUGCGCACAGGUGAACGGCUUUGUGUCUGUCUGGUCCUUUAGCGUGCGUAAACGUUGAUUAUUGUCCCACUUUAUAACUUCUACAUCUCAUACUGCUCACACACUCACAUCUACAGCACUGAUGUUACUGAUAAACACACCUCAGAUGUGCACUUAUUAAUAAAUACAUGAUCCAUGGCCUUGGAGACGAGUUAUGACAAUCUUAAAAAGUCUAGUUCCCCAAAGUCACAUUUUUUAUGUUUGAAUAAUUGUUUCCAUUUCCUUUAGUUUCUAUAAAGACAAAUGGUUCAUAUUCUGUAACACUGAGGCCACAGACGUUGCUCCAUCUGUUCUUCAGUUUGAAGAAAUCAGUGACACAGCAGUUUGUUACGUUGUUGAGUCAAACACUGGACACAGCGAACAUUUGAGGGCUUUAUUUAGCAACUGCUAACACUGAUAGCAUCCACGUUUCACCUGCAGCCGCUGUACUUCUCCACCUGUUCCUCUCUACUUCUCUGUCCCUCAUUCUGCAGUCCUCUUCCACUCUGUACA